GCCCGGGUGGCGGAACGGCAGACGCAGGAGACUUAAAAUCUCCUGGGGGAAACCCCAUGCAGGUUCGAUCCCUGCCCCGGGCA
rnacentral:tRNA from 1 species